AGACUAGUGGAGAGCUGGGCUUCGAGGCGUCAGUGUGAAGGGAAGGCUAAGGACGCAUCGGUGCUGGAGAGUUGAGAAUAUGCCUUCCCCUCCACCCCCAACCCAGUCACCUUAUUUGAAAAAAAAUUAAAAAACACCUUUUAUUUAAAAACCUAACCCUGGAAGUUUGCUCGGAAAAUGGAAAUCAACAUUUGAAACUUUUAAAUGGAAGCUUUAUUGGGGUUCCACAUAUGGAAAACUGCAAAUAGCAGAAGUAUGUGACUCAAUAAAUUAUUCUGGAGUGACCACAUCCUCUAACUGCCUCCCAGGACAAGACGGAGAAUGUGAACAAUGCUCCUGAAGGCCCCUUUCCCUCAAAGAAUCACUGCAAUUGAAGGAAAAAUGCUCCAUGUCCCCUCUGCCAGUUGGUGUUUAUCAAAGGACAACGGAGGAAGAGAGACAAAGUGCCUGGAUGUGUGUGUUAAUCAAGAGUUGUCAGGACCCUGCCUCUAAAAGAAAGCGCUAAAAUGAUGCUUUUGACAAGACUUUUCUCAAAGUGGAUGCAGUCUAAGGGUUGGAAAACAAGGCCCAAUCAGGCUAGGUCUGACUUGUCGCCUGCUUUUGUAAAUAAAGUUUUAUUGGCUCACAGACACAC
rnacentral:lncRNA from 1 species